AUUGAACGCUGGCGGCAGGCCUAACACAUGCAAGUCGAGCGCGCGGCGGACGGGUGAGAGAUGUCUGGGAAACUGCCUGAUGGAGGGGGAUAACUACUGGAAACGGUAGCUAAUACCGCAUACCAUCAGAUGUGCCCAGAGGGGAUUAGCUCGUAGGUGGGGGAACGGCUCACCUAGGCGACGAUCCCUAGCUGGUCUGUGAGGAUGACCAGCCACACUGGAACUGAGACACGGUCUAGACUCCUACGGGAGGCAGCAGUGGGGAAUAUUGCACAAGGGGCGCAAGCCUGAUGCAGCCAUGCCGCGUGUGUGAAGAAGGCCUUCGGGUUGUAAAGCACUUUCAGCGGGGAGGCGUUACCCGCAGAAGAAACACCGGCUAACUCCGUGCCAGCAGCCGCGGUAAUUC
rnacentral:rRNA from 1 species